UGUUGAAUCAUGAAUAACGUCACAGUGUCGUGUGCAGAGAUUCAGACUCCUGUGGGGUUUGUGUAUGUGAUUCUGUCUGUUUUACUGAAUCACACCAAACAUCCAGACUGUGAUCAUUGGUGGUAUUCACAGGACGGGCGUCUGAUAGCAGAUCCAUCCGAUCCUCAGAGACUGAUUUAUCCUGUUAUUUCUGUCUCUUCUGAUCGUCUCGUCACGUCUCAGUGUGUGAAUCUGAAUCAUGAGAUCAUCUGUCAUGCUUCAAGAUUCAGACUGGAGACCGUGUUCAGAGUGAGGAAUGAAACUGCAGUGACUCCAGACUCAGAUGUUCUGAAUGAAGUGACUCCAGAUCUCAAACACUCAGAUCAGUGGUGGCUGUUUGCUCUCUUCAUCAUCAUCAUCAUCAUCUUGAUCUGUUUCUUGCUGCGUAAAAGGAUCUUCAGAUGUGUUCUGAGAGCAGAGACGAGUGUUUGUCAGAUUAAUGAUUCAGUAAACAGGGAUCCUAAAUCUGGAGUCCAGAUGAAGUUCAGAUCAGAUGAUCCUUGUUCGCUGAAUGAAUCUGAAUCUGAGCAGCUUGACGGCUUCAUGUUUAGAGGAUGAUCAUCAUCUGAAAGAUUGAGUCAACAUCUCAGGUCAUUUUGCCAUUGACUCAAACUCAUUUUUCUGAAGGGAUUUCUGUCUUUGUGAUUUGUAAUGCUUUUAUAUUCAUUAGCCUUCUGUUUGCACAUAUGACACACAUUAUAGUAUUUAUUGUACUUUUACUGUAAAGGAAAAGCUAUGCAUUUUCUACCUGCCAAUCUGAACUGUUAUUGUUAUUGAACUGGAUUAAUCGGAAUAAUGACUAUGUUGAGCUGCUUUACUCUGCAUUUGUUUCAUAACUGAAGAACUUUGUUACAUUAACUCUGUUUUUUUCCUGUUUUACUUAAUCAGUCUUUACUGUAAAAAAGCCCUACAUAAAUAAAGCUGACUUGACCUGCUCA
ensembl:lncRNA